AGAAAGUGUUCUUAAUCACUGGCAGACUUUCCUCCUGUCAAGGGAAGGCAAGGGCUCAGCCAACCGGACAAAGGCCCUUCCAGCCGAAGCUGGGAAGUACAGUUGCUUCGUCACAGGCAGAAGAGCCUCCACUUUGAUGGUACAAGCCCUCUCGGCUGAACAGCGACAUUUCUCCUAGCGGCUAGUGCAGCGGAGAGAAGAGACUGGCAAUGUCAGGGAAGGCCAGGAUCCACAAACAGACGGCGCAGCCCUCCCCAGUGAGCACAAUGGCCCAUCGUCACCACCCUGCCAAGCCAGGCUGUCCAUUGUGGUUUGGGUACCACUGGACCAAAUCUGAAGUCACAAAAGAUGUCCAUGGAAAGGAAGGAGGACUUGACAUGUGGCUUUGAACCUCACUCUGCAAUCAAUUCCAUUGUGAUUCUGCAAUUAGAGCCUUU
rnacentral:lncRNA from 1 species